rnacentral:tRNA from 1 species
AGCCUCUUAGUUCAGCUGAUAGAGCAUGCGCGUACAAAGCGUAGGCGUGGGUUCGAAUCCCACCAGAGCUA